AAGCUUGUGUGCAUAGGCUUGUCGCUCGCUUUGGAAGGAUUUUGCGUUAUUAUGGUGACUUGUGUGGUGUUCGGAUGUACGAAUCGUUCUGAUUGUGAUGCGAAAUCGAAGGGAAUAACAUUUCAUGUAUUUCCUAAAAAUGAAAGUCGGAAAGCUCUGUGGGAGAAUGCCGUGAGGAGGAAGAAUUGGCGUGCGUCUAAAUGGAGCACUAUAUGUUCUCAGCAUUUCCGAGAAGAGGACAUAGACCGAACUUCCCUUUCAACAGUAAGGCUCCGAGAAAAUGCUGUACCAUCAGUUUUCCCUACACACACCCAAAACAUUUGCAAAAGGGAUACAAGAAGAGAAAGCCACCAUUGCGGAAGGAGAGCUCUUCCUUUCCAUCUUCAGUUUUGGCUGCCGUCAGCAGAGUGCAGGAUGAAGUAGUUCCUGCUCUUGUUCCUGAGUACACUGCAGGACCACCAGAACGUAGUCAGACAUCCUCUGAAAGUGAGGAACUGAAGACGAAGUGUGAACACCUCAUAAGAAAAACUGAUCAGUACAAAAAACAAAACUCUUCAGCAGU